UUACGACCAUAAUACGUUAAAACGCCGGCUCCCGUGCGAUCAUCGAAGUAAAGCAACGUCCAGCCUAAUCAGUACUUAGAUGGGUGACGCCUUGGGAAU